GGGUGCGUAGGCUGGGCAAUAAGUCAGUGGUGAAAGUCCGCGGCUCAACCGUGGGAUUGCCAUUGAAACUGUUGUUCUUGAGUACAGUCGAGGUAGGCGGAAUGUGUAAUGUAGCGGUGAAAUGCAUAGAUAUUACCCAGAACACCGAUUGCGUAGGCAGCUUACCAGCCUGGAACUGACGCUGAUGCACGAAAGCGUGGGGAGCGAACAGGAUUAGACACCCUGGUAGUCCACGCCGUAAACGAUGAUCACUCGCUGUUGGCAAUAUAGAGUCAGCGGCUGAGCGAAAGCAUUAAGUGAUCCACCUGGGGAGUACGUCGGCAACGAUGAAACUCAAAGGAAUUGACGGGGGCCCGCACAAGCGGUGGAACAUGUGGUUUAAUUCGAUGAUACGCGAGGAACCUUACCUGGGCUUAAAUGUAGCCGGACGAUUCCGGAAACGGGAUUUCCUUAACGGCUGGUUACAAGGUGCUGCAUGGCUGUCGUCAGCUCGUGCCGUGAGGUGUCGGGUUAAGUCCCAUAACGAGCGCAACCCUUAUUCUUAGUUGCCAGCGGGUAGAGCCGGGGACUCUAAGGAGACUGCCACCGUAAGGUGUGGGGAAGGUGGGGAUGACGUCAAGUCAGCACGGCCCUUACGUCCAGGGCUACACACGUGUUACAAUGGCCGGUACAGAAGGCAGCAAACUUGAGAGAGGGCGCGAAUCCACGAAAGCCGGUCUCAGUUCGGAUUGGAGUCUGCAACCCGACUUCAUGAAGUUGGAAUCGCUAGUAAUCGCGCAUCAGCAAUGGCGCGGUGAAUACGUUCCCGGGCAUUGUACACACCGCCCGUCAAGCCAUGGAAGCCGGGGGUACCUGAAGUCCGUAACCGCAAGGAGCGGCACGAGGGUAAACUGGUGACUGGGGCUAAGCGUAACAAG
rnacentral:rRNA from 1 species